rnacentral:misc_RNA from 1 species
GUAUCAUACGCAUUCCACACAGGAUAGGCCUUUUGUUUUUGUUCUCUUAUUUGCUAAAAUUUUUAACAUCUUUGUCUUAUUUUCGGCAAGAUCAAAUUUUUUGGGAACCAAGUUCACAGUCUUUGAUGGACAGCCACCUCAUACUGGGGCCAAGAUGAUGAAAAGUCGCUCCACUAAGCUAGUAAAUUUGAAACAAGUUUCACCUAGGGUUCCUGCUGGCAACUAUCCUGUAGCUCACAUCUCAUAUGAACUGAAUGUGUUGGGUUCCCGGGGUCCAAGGAGAAUGCAGUGCAUUAUGGAUGCUAUCCCUUCCACUUCUAUUGAACCUGGUGGAGUAGCCCCCACACAGACAGAGUUUUCUCAUCACAAUGUAGAUUUAUUUCCAUCACCUCCAUUAUUACGUUCAAAAUCAAAUCGUACAGAGAAUUUUCUUUCAGGACCUUUGCCCAGUCAGAAAGAUGGAGCACUAGUACUGAAAAACAAGGCUCCAAGGUGGCAUGAGCAGCUUCACUGUUGGUGUUUGAACUUCCAUGGUCGAGUAACGAUUGCUUCGGUUAAAAACUUUCAGCUGGUUGCUUCCCCAGAAAAUGGACCUGCUGGUCCAGAACAUCAGAAGAUCAUCCUCCAGUUUGGGAAAGUGGGAAAGGAUUUGUUUACUAUGGAUUACCGAUACCCAAUCUCUGCAUUCCAAGCAUUUGCAAUUUGCCUCAGCAGCUUUGACACCAAGAUUGCUUGUGAAUGAU